AGGACGAACGCUGGCGGCGUGCUUAACACAUGCAAGUCGAGCGAGGCUCUUCCCUUCGGGGAGGAUGCCCUAGCGGCGAACGGGUGAGUAACACGUGGGCAACCUGCCUCUAGCACUGGGAUAACUCCGGGAAACCGGGGCUAAUACCGGAUACGACCUCUGAGGGCAUCCUCCGGAGGUGGAAAGCAUUGUGGCUAGAGAUGGGCCCGCGGCCUAUCAGCUUGUUGGUGAGGUAACGGCCCACCAAGGCGACGACGGGUAGCCGGCCUGAGAGGGUGACCGGCCACAUUGGGACUGAGAUACGGCCCAAACUCCUACGGGAGGCAGCAGUUAGGAAUUUUCGUCAAUGGACGCAAGUCUGAACGAGCGACGCCGCGUGAAGGAUGAAGCCUCUCGGGGUGUAAACUUCUUUUUUACGGGAAGUAUAAUGACGGUACCGUAAGAAUAAGCACCGGCUAACUACGUGCCAGCAGCCGC
rnacentral:rRNA from 1 species